CUCCACCAGUGUUUCCCAAACUUGGGUCUCCAGCUGUUUUUGGACUUCAACUCCCAUCAUCCCUAUUUAGCAAGACCAGUGGUCAGGGAUGAUGGGAAUUGCAGUCCAAAAACAGCUGGAGACUCAAGUUUGGGAAACACUGUACCCA
rnacentral:miRNA from 1 species